rnacentral:sRNA from 1 species
AGCAGGGAGAUGUACCGUGAAACUGAAUUACUUCCUUUCACAUCGUGACUCCCAAGUAUGCAGAAGGAACCCUCUGGGGAUUCUCAGGUUUCAGUUUUACUUUCUAUACACAUUUUACUGAAUUUGACUUGUGCACUUAAGUGUAUUUUCUGUGUCCGCAGGAUGAUUUGAGACAACAUUUAGAUAAAUCUUUGGAAGAGAACAGUAGGUUAAAAUCGCUUUUGUUGAGUAUGAAAAAGGAAGUGAAGAGUGCAGACACUGCAGCCACGUUAAAUUUGCAGAUCGCUGGACUUCAAACAAGUGUGAAGAGGCUGUGUGGCGAGAUUGUGGAACUGAAACAGCACCUGGAGCACUACGACAAGAUCCAGGAGCUCACGCAGAUGCUGCAGGAGAGCCACAGCUCCCUGGUCAGCACCAAUGAACACCUGCUGCAGGAGCUGAGCCAGGUGCGGGCGCAGCACAGAGCCGAGGUGGAGCAGAUGCACUGGAGCUACCAGGAGCUCAAGAAGACCAUGGCCCUGUUUCCACACAGCAGCGCCAGCCAUGGAGGCCGCCAGGCCUGCUGACUCCUGCCGAGAAGCUGGGCCACCCCUUAAGCUUCCUGGUAAAGUUACAUUGUCUGCACCUUUGUACUUCUUUACUGAGUGUACUGGCUG